rnacentral:snRNA from 8 species
AUACUUACCUGGCAAGGGAGAUACCGUGAUCAAGAAGGCGGUUCACCCCAGGGCGAGGCUCAGCCAUUGCACUUCCGGCUGUGCUGACCCC